GAGGAACACAAGGAGCGGGCAGGCAGAAAGGCGAGGGAAGCCAUGAUGGAUCCGAGCGCCACAAGCAGGGCCGCGCCUGCCGCCGGACGCCGGACGCAUCUGAUGUGGCACAGAACUGCUGUAGCAAGAUUCUGGAUGAGAAACAAUGGGCUCCUUCUCUAUCUUUUGCUUUACCUCAGCUAACCUUCAGCAGUUUUUUGACUACUCACAAGUUGUCAGCAUAUCUGAAUUAGACGUUCAGAAGGAAGUGAAUCUGCUGAUAACCAAACCAAGCAACAUACAGGAAAAAUGCCUAUUGCAGGAGGACAAGAUUAUGAGAUGAGGACUGCUUUCAGAUUUGGCUGUGAUGGUGCCCAGAUGGUGAAGAAGCACAAAAGAGAUGGACCGAACAGUGGCUUUGGAUGCAGAAGUAGUGGGCAUGUCAAAUUCCACAUCUACGUGGCGGACAAAACUGGAAGGCACUUCUCGGUCAGAGCCAAGCUCUAGGUGACAGAAGAAGCAGUGUGGAUGGCCAGAAGCUGGAAAAAGAGAGCAAACAGACAUGAAAGUUGUCUUUUUGUUGAGAGAAGAUUGCAUGUAGGUAAAAGCAGCAUCAUGAAACAGUAAGAAACUGAGAAUCUGCCUGGGCGAAAUACUUUGAGUCAAAUGUCAGGAUCUUAUCUGUUUUAAUGCCAUUGAAACUCCAUACUCUGGAGUAUCAGUUUGGUUUAAUUAGUAAAUAAAUUAAAUGAACUGCAAAAGAAUGACUGUCAAUCAGUCCAAUUUGCUUUCAGUGUGUGAAAAUUCAAGAUGUAAAUCAACCACCAUAGGUAAAGAUAUUUUCCCUCUUCUCAUUACCUCACUCUAUGUAACAGGCUAAGAACAGUGUGGCAUAUUCUUCUAAAAUAUCGUGUAUUGAUAGUAAGUGAAGGUAGAUUUGACAGAUAUUUCAUAGUUAUUUUUGAUAUGGUUAUCCCCAUUUAUUGUGAAAGCAAACAUACUGGAUAACAUUAAACUUUCCUGGGUUCAGAAAGCAUAUUUGUGCAUAUCUUGGAAGUAACAAUUUAUUCAUCAUUCUAACCCUCCACAAGAUGGCCAAUCAUUAAAGAUGGAAAGGUGAGAAACCAACCAUGUUUAGCUCUGUCAUCAAUAACAACUUUUGCUAUUAUAUUCUUCCAUUUGUUCUGUUGGACAGCAGAAAUGUUAAAAAAAAAAUGAAGUAGGAACUGCUAGUUAAGUUAGAUCUGUUAUAUUUCUGACUGCUGUGAACCCCCUAAGCUCUUGAGCAAGCC
rnacentral:lncRNA from 1 species